CCUACGGGAGGCAGCAGUGGGGAAUUUUGGACAAUGGGCGCAAGCCUGAUCCAGCAAUGCCGCGUGCAGGAUGAAGGCCUUCGGGUUGUAAACUGCUUUUGUACGGAACGAAACGGUGAGCUCUAAUACAGUUUGCUAAUGACGGUACCGUAAGAAUAAGCACCGGCUAACUACGUGCCAGCAGCCGCGGUAAUACGUAGGGUGCGAGCGUUAAUCGGAAUUACUGGGCGUAAAGCGUGCGCAGGCGGUGAUGUAAGACAGAUGUGAAAUGCCCGGGCUCAACCUGGGACCUGCAUUGUGACUGCAUCGCUAGAGUACGGUAGAGGGGGAUGGAAUUCCGCGUGUAGCAGUGAAAUGCGUAGAUAUGCGGAGGAACACCGAUGGCGAAGGCAAUCCCCUGGACCUGUACUGACGCUCAUGCACGAAAGCGUGGGGAGCAAACAGGAUUAGAUACCCUGGUAGUCCACGCCCUAAACGAUGUCAACUGGUUGUUGGGUCCCCUUNACUGACUCAGUAACGAAGCUAACGCGUAGAAGUUGACCGCCGUGGGGAGGUACGGCCGCGAGGUUAGUAACGUACGAAAGGAAGUUAGUACGGACGUUGAGACGNGCCGACGGACGACGACGAGGGAGGAGGG
rnacentral:rRNA from 1 species